rnacentral:rRNA from 1 species
ACGGAAGGCAGCAGCUAAGAAUAUUCCGCAAUGGGCGAAAGCCUGACGGAGCGACGCCGCGUGGAUGAUGAAGGCCGGAAGGUUGUAAAGUCCUUUUGUGGCUGAGGAAUAAGCUUCCCAGGAAAUGGGGGAGCGGUGACUGUAGGCCAUGAAUAAGCACCGGCUAAUUACGUGCCAGCAGCCGCGGUAACACGUAAGGUGCAAGCGUUGUUCGGAAUUAUUGGGCGUAAAGGGCAUGUAGGCGGCCCGUCAAGUCCCGCGUGAAAUUCCGGAGCUCAACUCCGGAGCUGCGCGGGAAACUGGUGGGCUUGAGUCAGCGAGGCGGAACCGGAAUUCCUGGUGUAGGGGUGAAAUCUGUAGAUAUCAGGAAGAACACCGGUGGCGAAGGCAGGUUUCGAGCGCAUGACUGACGCUGAGGUGCGAAGGUGCGGGGAGCAAACAGGAUUAGAUACCCUGGUA